rnacentral:rRNA from 1 species
UGGGGGAUAUUGCACAAUGGGCGAAAGCCUGAUGCAGCGACGCCGCGUGGGGGAUGAAGGCUUUCGGGUUGUAAACCUCUUUCGCUAUCGAACAAGGCCCGCUUAGGGUGGGUUGAGGGUAGGUGGAGAAGAAGCGCCGGCUAACUACGUGCCAGCAGCCGCGGUAAUACGUAGGGCGCGAGCGUUGUCCGGAAUUAUUGGGCGUAAAGGGCUUGUAGGCGGCUUGUUGCGCCUGCUGUGAAAACGCGGGGCUUAACUUCGCGCGUGCAGUGGGUACGGGCAGGCUUGAGUGUGGUAGGGGUGACUGGAAUUCCAGGUGUAGCGGUGGAAUGCGCAGAUAUCUGGAGGAAAACCGAUGGCGAAGGCAGGUCACUGGGGCAUUACUGACGCUGAGGAGCGAAAGCAGGGGUAGCGAACAGG